GAAGUUGAAUUUGAGUGCGGAAAAUUAAGCACACUGCUCUAAUAUCUAAAUGCGUCUAGAUUUGCAAUACCUGAAUUUUAAAACCGACCCACGUCUCUUGUAAACUUUGAGCUUAUUGUAAUUAAAUAUUAACAUAGUCCAUUAAUAUGCUAAUAUGACCAGUCGGAUACCACUUUUCCAUCUGAUCCUAUCGUCAUGCUUGCAAAAGUUAAUAUGAAAUGACACUAACGCCCAUUAGAGCGACAAAAUUAACCCUUCUUAUUACUUUCUCACUAUCUCUCGCCCUAAUUACUUUGUCUGCCAAUAGCUUUGACAAUCUCAACAAAUCACCCCAUAAAAUCUAACUAAUUAAUAAAUCAUCCACCACGACCCCUAUAUACACUAGCUUGAGCUCCAACCAUUGUAUUGUAUCGUAAUAAAUCUUCAAUUUUUAACUAUUUCCAAAUUUCUUGCUCUACUUUCUCUUCCUAUUUCUUCAGUUCUCCUCCUACUUCUUCCUCACCUGCAUUUCACGUAUGAGAUUUCCUGGUUAGAAACAACGGUUUCAGAUAUCAAUGUCUGGGAUCGUUAUAAGAUUGUGGAAUUUUCCAGUAGUUAGAGUCUUGGUGCAUCCAUGCCUCUCAGAUCUCUCCAAAAACCUUUGAGUUGACUUGUGUAAGGGCUAGCUAUGUUUCCCUGAGGGAUUGUCUGAGACCGGUGCCGUGCUCGGUAGUAGUCUGGCUUCUAGAAGAAAACGGUCGAUUGGAUAAGUGCAAGAUCAUUGGCUAGCUUGGGAUAAUCUGUGGAGUGGGUUUUCGGGACCUCUACGCUUUCGAAUCUGGACUUGUUAGCAAAAGAAGAGUGCCGAUUACUGCAGUCCCCAACGAGUUUUGAAAGAAAAACAUUUUCCCUAGUUCCUCUUUUGGCAUGCUACUUGGGGAUCUUCCCUUCGUAGUUUGUGUUGUUAGAGAAAUAUUUUGUGAGAGAAUUCUUCAGUUGGGAAGCCGAGCAUGUCAAAUUAUCACAAAGAUAGGCCGAAGGUCCCUUCCAAUAACACUGAUAUUGUUCCCAUCUUGGUAAUUACUACCUGCACAAUCCGUCAUGUGUGAAGUUUUAUUUCAAAAGACUCAGUAUUAGUUCGAGUGGGGUUAGGAUAUUUAAAAUCUUAUUUUCUCAUAUA